ensembl:lncRNA
GUUAUGAUUGAAUGGAAGGAACCCAGGUGCAGACAACAAAGGUUGAAUUAAAGCAGAGGUUUAUUGUAGGGAGGAUGACAUCAGUAGGGAACAAACAGGAGGGGGACGUUCGGGGAUGGACUAUAGGCAGGCAGGGCUGCAGGCAGGUGGAGGAGCACACAGGGUGGAUGGCGGGCAGAGGAGCACACAGGGUGGAUGGCGGGCAGAGGAGCACACAGGGUGGAUGGCGGGCAGGUAGAGGAGCACACAGGGUGGAUGGCGGGCAGGUAGAGGAGCACACAGGGUGGAUGGCGGGCGGGUAGAGGAGCACACAGGGUGGAUGGCGGGCAGGUAGAGGAGCACACAGGGUGGAUGGCGGGCGGGUAGAGGAGCACACAGGGUGGAUGGCGGGCGGGUAGAGGAGCCAGGCCCGCCGCUCCCUAUACGAAGAGUACGUGCGUAGGGCACCAAGUA